CUGACGGAGCAACGCCGCGUGAGUGAAGAAGGCCUUCGGGUUGUAAAGCUCUGUCUUAUGGGACGAAGAAAGUGACGGUACCAUUAGGAGGAAGCCACGGCUAACUACGUGCCAGCAGCCGCGGUAAUACGUAGGUGGCGAGCGUUGUCCGGAAUUACUGGGCGUAAAGGGCGCGCAGGCGGGUAUUUAAGUCAGAUGUGUAAUCUACAGGCUCAACCUGUAGUUUGGAUCUGAUACUGGAUAUCUUGAGGGUAGGAGAGGACAGUGGAAUUCCUAGUGUAGCGGUGAAAUGCGUAGAUAUUAGGAGGAACACCAGUGGCGAAGGCGGCUGUCUGGCCUACAACUGACGCUGAGGCGCGAAAGCGUGGGGAGCGAACAGGAUUAGAUACCCUGGUAGUCCACGCCGUAAACGAUGGGUACUAGGUGUAGGAGGUAUCGACCCCUUCUGUGCCGGAGUUAACACAAUAAGUACCCCGCCUGGGGACUACGGCCGCAAGGUUAAAACUCAAAGGAAUUGACGGGGGCCCGCACAAGCGGUGGAGCAUGUGGUUUAAUUCGACGCAACGCGAAGAACCUUAC
rnacentral:rRNA from 1 species